rnacentral:rRNA from 1 species
GAGCGGAACGAUCCUAGCUUGCUAGGAGGCGUCGAGCGGCGGACGGGUGAGUAACGCGUGAGAAUCUACCCAUGAGUGGGGGACAACCCGGGGAAACUCGGGCUAAUACCGCAUACGCCCUACGGGGUAAAGCAGGGGACCUUCGGGCCUUGCGCUGAUGGAUGAGCUCGCGUCGGAUUAGCUUGUUGGUGAGGUAAAGGCUCACCAAGGCGACGAUCCGUAGCUGGUCUGAGAGGAUGAUCAGCCACACCGGGACUGAGACACGGCCCGGACUCCUACGGGAGGCAGCAGUGGGGAAUCUUGGACAAUGGGGGCAACCCUGAUCCAGCCAUGCCGCGUGUGUGAAGAAGGCCUUCGGGUUGUAAAGCACUUUCAGCAGGGAGGAAGGCUUACCCCUAAUACGGGUGAGUACUUGACGUUACCUGCAGAAGAAGCACCGGCUAAUUUCGUGCCAGCAGCCGCGGUAAUACGAAAGGUGCAAGCGUUAAUCGGAAUUACUGGGCGUAAAGCGCGCGUAGGCGGUGUGUUAAGUCGGAUGUGAAAGCCCAGGGCUCAACCUUGGAAUUGCAUCCGAUACUGGCACGCUAGAGUGCAGUAGAGGGAGGUGGAAUUUCCGGUGUAGCGGUGAAAUGCGUAGAGAUCGGAAGGAACACCAGUGGCGAAGGCGGCCUCCUGGACUGACACUGACGCUGAGGUGCGAAAGCGUGGGGGAGCAAACAGGAUUAGAUACCCUGGUAGUCCACGCUGUAAACGAUGUCUACUAGCCGUCGGGGUCCUUAGUGACUUUGGUGGCGCAGCUA